GACGAACGCUGGCGGCGUGCUUAACACAUGCAAGUCGAACGAAAAGAGGGAAAGAGCUUGCUCUUUCCGGAAUUGAGUGGCAAACGGGUGAGUAACACGUAAACAACCUGCCUUCAGGAUGGGGACAACAGACGGAAACGACUGCUAAUACCGAAUAAGUUCCAAGGGCCGCGUGGCCCAUGGAAGAAAAGGUGGCCUCUACCUGUAAGCUAUCGCCUGAAGAGGGGUUUGCGUCUGAUUAGCUGGUUGGAGGGGUAACGGCCCACCAAGGCGACGAUCAGUAGCCGGUCUGAGAGGAUGAACGGCCACACUGGAAUUGAGACACGGUCCAGACUCCUACGGGAGGAAGCAGUGGGGAAUCUUCCGCAAUGGGCGAAAGCCUGACGGAGCAACGCCGCGUGAGUGAUGACGGCCUUCGGGUUGUAAAACUCUGUGAUCCGGGACGAAAAGGCAGAGUGCGAAGAACAAACUGCAUUGACGGUACCGGAAAAGCAAGCCACGGCUAACUACGU
rnacentral:rRNA from 1 species